GCCCAGGCUCCCCCGCCCUUCCCUCGGGGCUCCCCGCUCUUUCCUUUCCUCCCCCUCCAUUCCUCCGCUCCCCACUUUUACCCCAAGGUGUGCGGCCACUUCUGUGAGGAGGACGGACUUGAAAUGGGGCGCAGUUAAGACCUCAGAGAGGAAAAGCCUCGGAGAGGCUCGUCCGCACUCGCUCUCCCGGUUUCUGGGUGGGUCUCGAGCCCAUGCCACACCGUAGGACACGUAGAAGCCGGCGCCCGGGAGAUGCCGGUCCACGGCCGAGGGCGGAGGGUCGAGCUGCGCCCUCCGAGAGCAGCGCCCUCCCUUCCUUCAACCUAAUUUAGAUCCCACACCUGCUCGCCUUUCCUGCUUCCGGAUCCCACGCUGGACCCCCGGCUCUCGAGCAGCCCGCCGGGCUCUAGCCAGACCCUUCCCCGACCCAGCGCUGCCCCAGCCCCGGGUGUCCGGUUCCGCACCCUGAGCCUCAGGCCCCCUCUGCCUCAGCCACAGGAAGGUGUCUAGACAUCUCGGUGACUCUGGUACCCUGGGACGGCUGUCUGUCAAGCCGGAUCCCCUUAGGAGAUAGGCUUAAGAGUCUGAAAUCACGUACUUUGAGGCCAUCAUCGGCUCUUCAGCCUUCAAGCUUUCACUGAGGAGGAGAAACUCUGUGGAGGACAUGGGAGGAUAUAGGAUGAUGACAAAUUCACUCUGAGAUGUAUUGGUGUUACAGUGGAUCCAGCUGGUCAAGACUGAGAAGGUGGUUGAACGUCUGUCUGGAGUAAAGAAGCAAACUGAGCCAAUGAGGAACUUCAAGAGCAAAGCCCUGGCCUUCCUUUUUCUUUCUUCUUCCUCCCUCUCAGGAAUCUUACAUGUGGCCUCAGGUAGCUGCCAAGCCAGGUGGAGAAACUGAAGAAAAUGAAUUUGCAAAUUACAAGAGCAGUAGCAUGGAACAAUGUGAAGGUUGCCUGUUAAACUUUUAAAGAAAUAGGAAAACAGGAAGAUGGUUGUAGAAAAGGGACCCCCCCCCAAAAAAAAAAAAAAGCAAAA